rnacentral:lncRNA from 1 species
CAAAUUUCUAAGCAGACAGAGACAGGUCCCCAGUGAAACCUCACCUUCAAGCCAAAGACAGUUUAAACCCUGAAAAUUGAGCUGCCAGUUCUGAAUAGAGUCCAUGACCAGAGUGAAAACUUCUAUUCCUGUUUGCCCACUCUUUACUGAUUGGUUCUUUCUGAAUAAUGCUUUUUAACCGAUCGAAUAUUCCCUUUUCCAAGGCUACCUAUAGCCUACACCUCCUCAUUCCAAACAUAUAAAAACCCUGCAAUCAGCCUCACAGACGGCUACCCACUUUUGGUCCCCUUUUGCAGUUGAGAGCUUUUCCUCUUUGACUCAAUAAACUUCUAUUCUGCCUUACUUGCUCUCCAUUGUCCACAUACCUCAUUCCUCUUAGUCAUGGGACAAGAACUGGACUGUGGGAACAAGAGAGCUGUAACACAUCCCUGUUCACCAAGCUGUGAGUGGCAGAAAUAAAAGAGCUCGUAACAUGCUCCCACUUGCAGAGCUACAGGAGUGAAGAGCCGUGACACUUCUGAGGGCCCAGAUAAUGGGACUCCCCAAGCAAAAGCUAUAACACUCCUUGGGGUGCUGCAAUUGCUGACAUUUCUGAGUUUUUGGAUGCCACCACGUUCUCCUCUUCUACAUGCUGGCACCCAAUGUGGAAGCCACUCGCAGCAUGCCUGGCUCAGCCACGGGCUAAGUGUGGAGCUGUGGUGGGCACAGGAUCCAAGUGGGUGUGAGCUGAGCACAGCCUGCUGGGCCAAGCGGGCAGAGUGAGCCCAGUGGGUCCAAGAGAAGCCCUGGACAGAGGUCACAGUGGCCACAGGGAUUUUUGCCUGACAAAGUGGCACUGAAGGAAUCCUGUGUCAUUUCUGGGAUCUUGUCCGGGAUCUGCAGAAGGAUUUUCUCUUACAAAAAAGGGAGAACAUGACAACCUGUUUAUUGAAAGCCAUGUCAGAUUUUUCAGGCUGCCACUAAAGAAAUCAAACAAGGGUCAGAACACAGUAAACACAGAAACUGUGAAAGAAGAAAACCUAUGCGUCGCAAUAGAGAAUAUCGAAAAGCUACAGCACCUGUUUUCCAGCUGGGACUUAGUUUUGCAAUCUGAAUUUUAUCAACAAGCCCAGCCAUAUCCAGGCUGCCAACAGAGAUCUUCUGAAAGCAGAAAGAAACCAAAGUCUGCAUGGGAAUAAUCUCAAGCUCUAAAAUGAAAUCUUAAACUCUAUCAAGACAUUUUAGCCUCUGAGUUUGUUUUUUUUAUUUUGUGUUUGAGAAACAAGACCAUGCAUUUCUCCUUACAGAUGAAAUUAGGCAUGGCUGACCUCAGUGGGUAGCAACUGUGCCCUUCUUAUCAAAAAAACUACAUGUGCCAGGCACUAGCAGGCAAGAGGCUGCUCACUGUCAUCUGGUAGAUGAUGGGAUGGAAAGAACACGUCUGAUUUGAAAGCCAGGCUGAUAUGCCAGUGCCUCAGCAAUUAUCAUGCCCAUCUGCUCCUUAGCUUCCAAGCUUCUGUGCCUACACCUAUGCUGAGAGAGAGAGAGAGAAACAAACACAGAGAGAGAGACAGAGAGAGAGAGAGAGACCCUUCAGGCAUCUCACUGGCAUUUAGCAUACAGGAAAUUUAAAGCUUUGGAUAUACCUUAUAUGAAAUCAACUGGGGAAGGCCCUUUUAAAAAGCAUGACUCCUUAAUAGAUAAUUAACUUAAUGCAUAUAUUUCAUUGUCCCUGAGCACUUCAUAUACUGGUGAUCUCAGCUCUGCGAAAUAUACUUAUUUGGCAUAUUCAGAAGAAAUUUCAAUAAUUGCUCAGCUAUCUUUUUUCCUGUGCUUAUCAAAUUGUACAUGAUAGCUAUUAUCUGAACCUAUUCUAGCUCAUGACUAUGUAUAUGGAUAUGAUACAGAAAAUUCACCAGCCAAAAUUAUUCAGGAAAACAUCCUUGGGAAAUUACCCAAGUUUAUUCAAUAGAAACUAAUAAUGCAUUCGAACAGUUUUUGAAAUGCAUAAUAUUUAUAAAGAACUAAAUAUGUAUAUAUUACAUAUAUGAGUCAGUCAUUCUAAUCAGUAGCUAAUUCACAUAUGUAUUGAGCAUUUAUUUUGUGCAAGACCCUGUGAAAAAUAUACUAGACAUAAAAUAUAAGUAAAACUUGCUUCCUGCCUUCAAGGAACUCACAUUUUAGCAGGAAAGAUAAAGAAAAUGCAUUAACAACCCUAAAGCAUGAUAGAAUAUAGUAAGAUCAAGGAGUAUGAUGAGUGUAUGGUGAAUUAUAAGUGGAAAACCUAUUCUGAAUCAUGCUUUAGGUUGGCACUCCAAAGGCUAUGGUCAGGCAUGUUAAAGGGUCCAAUGAUGCAAAAAGAAAGGAAACCUAAGAAUUUAUCACUGCUACUCAAAAGGAAUUUCCCAGUCGGAUAGAUGAAUGGAGAUUGUACUUAGCUAGUAAUAGAAACCCUUACUAGCCUUCCUUUAAAAUGCAAAGAAUAGGUUCAUUUCAUGUAACAAGUUUAAUAUUUUUCUAAUUUCUUAAUUAUGUUUAAUUAACAUUUUUAUGGCCAUUUGAACAAAACUAGAGAAAGUGGUAAAAUGAACCUAUAUCCCAAUUUUUUAAAUGUCUAAGACUUUUACCUCAAUUCUUUCAAUACACUGUCUACUGUGGUUUUGGAAAGGGAGCAAAUCCAGACUAUUUUAAAGCAAAUUCAGACAACAUGUCAUUUUAACUGUUUGAAAUGUGUGAUGGCAUUGGGUUGUUUUUCCUGUUGACUUUCCCACUGUUAUGAACUGAACUGUGUACCCACAAAAUUAUAUAUGCAUGCCCUAACCCCCAGUACCUUAGAAUGUGACUGCAUUUGGAGAUAAGGCUCGAGUGGGUAAUUAAGUUUAAAUAGACAGAUGAUAAGGAUGGCGGCUUAAACUAACAUGAGUGAUGUCCUUAUAAGAAAAUGGAGAUACUCCAGGGAUGCCCAGAUAAAAGGCCAUGUAAGGACGCACAGAGAAGGUGGCCACCUGCAAUCCCAGGAGAGAAAUCUCAGGAGAAACCAAGCCUGCUGGCACCUUGAUCUUGAUCUUGGACUUCCAGCCUCCAG